UCCACUUCCAUUUUCGACCGCGGGAUCACGAUCGGGCGGUCACGGACUCGGGAAUGGAAUAGAAGGGCUAGACUGGCUGUGUAGAGUGGCUAGGUGGGGACGAGAGGGAUGGUGGGCGACGCGGCAACGAGUUUUAAAACACCAACAACCGUCCGACGAUAGACCGAAUACGGUGCCGCUACGGUCGACCGUUCGGGUAUGAGACGGAUUCCGAUCGCAAUGAAAUUGGACAGGCGGCCUAGCUAUAACUAUUACGACCGCAUGCCAAGUUUCACCCCGAUCAGAGAAAGUUUUCAACACACUUUUAAAACAGGGUUUUGACGAUGCCGCGGGCGCGUGCGAGUGCGGUCGGGCUCAGAACGGACAACGACGAGAACCGACAACUAACAACAGAUGCAAGUUUUGAAAACUGGCGGCAACGAGAUGCCGAUGCAAUGCUGAUGAUGCGCAUGAUGCGAUGAUGAUGCGACAAAAGAAAAUAGACACACGACGAAAAUGGAAAGAAAGGGGAAUCUUCUGGAACGUCGGUCUCGGGCUCUCACAACUCUCCUACACUACAAGAG
rnacentral:lncRNA from 1 species